AGAGGACAGAGACUGACAUGGAACAGGGGAAGGGCCUGGCUGUCCUCAUCCUGGCUAUCAUUCUUCUUCAAGGUACUUUGGCUCAGUCAAUCAAAGGAGAAACAGGACCCCAGUAGCUAGGGACACAUCUCAAACUGUGACCCAUGAACCAGCAGGAAACCACUUGGUUAAGGUGUAUGACUAUCAAGAAGAUGGUUCGGUACUUCUGACUUGUGAUGCGGAAGCCAAAAAUAUCACGUGGUUUAAAGAUGGGAAGAUGAUAGGCUUCCUAACUGAAAAUAAAAAAAAAUGGAAUCUGGGAAGUAAUACCAAGGACCCUCGAGGGAUGUAUCAGUGUAAAGGAUCACAGAAAAAGUCAAAACCACUCCAAGUGUAUUACAGAAUGUGUCAGAACUGCAUUGAACUAAAUGCAGCCACCAUAUCUGGCUUUCUCUUUGCUGAAAUCAUCAGCAUUUUCGUCCUUGCUGUUGGGGUCUACUUCAUUGCUGGACAGGAUGGAGUUCGCCAGUCGAGAGCUUCAGACAAGCAGACUCUGUUGCCCAAUGACCAGCUCUACCAGCCCCUCAAGGAUCGAGAAGAUGACCAGUACAGCCACCUUCAAGGAAACCAAUUGAGGAGGAAUUGAACUCAGGACUCAGAGUAGUCCAGGUGUUCGCCUCCUAUUCAGUUCCCAGAAUCAAAGCAAUGCAUUUUGGAAAGCUCCUAGCAGAGAGACUUUCAGCCCUAAAUCUAGACUCAAGGUUCCCAGAGGUGACAAAUGGAGAAGAAAGGC
rnacentral:sRNA from 1 species